ACGAACGCUGGCGGCAUGCCUAACACAUGCAAGUCGAACGAGACCUUCGGGUCUAGUGGCGCACGGGUGCGUAACGCGUGGGAACCUGCCCUUAGGUUCGGAAUAACUCCCCGAAAGGGGUGCUAAUACCGGAUAAUGUCUUCGGACCAAAGAUUUAUCGCCUUUGGAUGGGCCCGCGUUGGAUUAGCUAGUUGGUAGGGUAAAAGCCUACCAAGGCGACGAUCCAUAGCUGGUCUGAGAGGAUGAUCAGCCACACUGGGACUGAGACACGGCCCAGACUCGGACGGGGGGAGGGAGGGGGAAUGAGGGCACAGUGGACGAAGGCCUGAACGAGAAGGGCGGCGUGGGUGAUGGCGGCGUGAGUGUGGUAACGCUCUGUAAGAGGGGAGGAGAAGUGCAGUCGGGAAGGAUUAAGCUACGGCUAGGGCCGGGCAAGGGGCCGCGGGAAUAGGCGGAAGAGAAGACGAUUAAGC
rnacentral:rRNA from 1 species